AAGGUGUCGGCAGUCACAUCUCUCACAUGAAUUGAAUUUGGGGCCGUAGAGUUCUUUUCAGGGUGUCUGGAACUGCCAAAUCGCCCCUGUCCCUCCCAUUCCUUAAGAGCAUCCCUCACCGCCUCGGUGCCACCGUGACGCCUCAGCCAUGGCGGACCUGCACUACACCGCCAGUUCGUUCGCCCGGGGCCGCGGCGCUUGCGCGCUGCUCUCGCGGAGCGCGCUGCCCCGCUCUGACGCUUGCGCGAGCUACUCAAGAAGUCUUCUGCGCCGCUGCGCCGCAGGGGCCCGGGCGGCCCUUCGCCCUAGGCGGGCUGCGGGCUGCGGGCUGCGGGGGUUUGGUGCGGAGGGCCAACUUUUGGGAAUAACCUGGCUGUGGGCUUAAAAAUCGUAUCAUUCAUUAUCACGGGCUUCUCUUUCUCGAAUACCUUUAACAUUUAUCGCCUUGUUAGUCUGCACAUCCACCUCCGUGAAAGGAAUUCUCAAGGGUCUUUUUGGAGGCUUACCAAGGACAUCCAGCUGCACAGUGAAGGUGGCUUCUCCUGCUCUAUUCCUGGCAACACAUGCAUAAGCCCCUGCAUCUGAAGCUCUGACUACUUCAAAGAUGAGUGAAUGAAGACCCUUCUCAGACACUAUCAUUUUGUGCAAAUCAUCUGAUUGAACUGGUCUUCCAUUUAGAUACCAUGACACAUCAGGAGCUGGCAGUCCGCUCACCUAGAAAGAAAAACACAAGGAAAUGGUAGAAUUUUAAAGUAUUGCAUCACUGAAACCUAUUUGUCCAUAUAUGAAUUUAAACAGUUCCCGUAUCUGAGUGGGUUUGUGAUUGAAAUGCAAAGCAAGGGCUCAAAAGAUGAGGAGACAAAAGCACAGAGAGGUUAAAUGACUUGUCUAAGGUUGCUCAGCUGGAAAGUGGCAGAGCCAGAAUUCAAACCCACAUCAGUUUGGCUUCAGAAUUUGUGUUCUUGUCCAUUGUACAUGGUCUUUGUGAGAUACAACCCAGGUUACAGCGUGAUAAAUGUGAUAGCCUCCAUGGUACAUCAAAGCUAAAGUUCUUGCUAUAAUAGGGGGAUCAAGGGAUGAUUUAGGAAAGAAUCCGUAAGUCAUCUGAGUUGGUUAUCUGCACGUUCUGCCUGUACCAGUGAACUUGAACUGUGGCUGUGUCCUGGAUUCUGCAUUCAAACGUGAUUGGCUGAUCUCUGGUUGUAGAGAUGUCUUGAAGAUGCUGAAGAACAAACACAGAGUUCAGAGGAUGGAAGAAACUGUUAUACCAUCUACAAUGAUUUGAUAUGCCAUUUGCAACCACAGUUUACCGUGGGUUGUUGAAACCACAGAAAGUGAAACUGGAUAAGGAGUUCUGGAGGCUGAGAAGUCCAAGAUCAAGGCACCAGCAGAUUUGGUGUUUGGUGAGAGCUGUCUCCUUCAUAAAUGGUGCCUUGUUGCUGUGUCCUCACAUGGUAGAAGGGGACCCCACUAAAAAUUGGACUGUUCAACUCACCUGGCAACCACUCCCAGAGCCCCUGGAACUCCGGCCCAAGGCUCUCUGACUGACACCUUCCCAGAUCUUCUUGGCUUAGCAGCUGAAGACUGACGCUGCCCGAUCAUCUUGGAAGCCUCUUGGACCAUCACAGAUGCUUUGGGUAACUCUUACAGUGGAAGGUUCACAUGUCGCCCCUGAUCCUGCCUGAAGCGGCCCUGAGAAACAUCACCCAUUAUCUCUCCAUACCACCCCUAAAAAUUUUUGCUGCCCUAACACUUUACCAUUAUUAUUAUUUUUAUUAAUAUAAGAAGACAGGAAUAUCAGGGCUCUGAGCCGAAGCUAAGCCAUCAUAUCCCUUGUGACCUGCAUG